rnacentral:rRNA from 1 species
AUGGAGGCGACGGCCAUCAGCAUCGGCAAGUCCGUGUUGAGCGGGGCGCUCAACUACGCCCAGUCGACCGUGGCCGAGGAGGUGGCUCUGCAGCUUGGUGUCCAGCGAGACCAUUCCUUCAUCACGGACGAGCUGGAGAUGAUGCAGUCAUUCCUGAUGGCUGCGCACGACGAGAGAGACGACAAUAGGGUGGUCAGGACUUGGGUGAAACAAGUCCGUGACGUCUCCUACACCGUCGAGGACUGCCUCCUGGAUUUUGCUGUCCGUCUCGAGAAGCAAUCCUGGUGGUGUCUCUCUCGCAAGGGGCUGGCCCGCCGUUAUGUGGCCAUGCAGAUGAAGGAGCUCAGAGACAAGGUGGAGGAGGUCAGCCAGAGGAGCCAACGCUACCACCUCAUCAAGGGCUCCAGCUCCAAGCCUACCUCUGCUGUUGGGCCGCCUAUCAUGUCCAGCGCGAUGAUGACUGCUGCCGAUGAUGCAAGGCUGCGGCGGCAUAAAGCAAAAAUGGAUCUCGCCGAGUUGAUCAAUUGCAAGAAUGAUGACACACUCCGAGUGGUUGCGUUGUGGGGCACAAGUAUUAGUGAACUGGAGGAGACAUCCAUCAUCAAGAGUGCUUAUGAAGAUCCCAUGAUACACAAGAAUUUUGAUUGCUGUGCUUGGAUCACAUUGGUGUACCCUUUCAAUCAGACGAAUUUCAUUCAAAGCAUUGUUAGGCAAAUCUAUGAAAAUUCUCUACAAGAGACAGGAGAAGAAGGAAAAACAACUAUUGGGGUCCAAGUUUUGAAGCUGAUGACAACAACAAAAGAAGAUGGUUUGGCUCAUGUGUUCAGGAGAUUCUUGAUUAAGAGGGCGGAGAAAGAUAGCUUGGUUUAUGAGUUCAAGAGAUAUUUGAAUGAUAAGAGUUAUCUAAUUGUACUCAAUGACAUACGGACCAUUGAAGAGUGGGAUUGCAUUAAAACAUGUUUCCCAAACAACAAGAAAGGAAGCCGAAUCAUAGUAUCAACUGAGCAAGUUGAAGUUGCAAGCUUAUGCAUAGGAGCAGAGGAAGAAGCUUUAGUGCAUAAGAAGUUAUUUUCUGAUCAAUCUUUUUAUGCGUUCUACACUAAGAAGAAGAUGUUGGUGCUGAAAAAAGGAGAAGAAAAAAAGAAAGUAUUAUUGCAUCAAGAAACGUCCGAAGAAACUUUUUUUGAAGCACUGAAGUAUUAUUGUUGUCGAUGGAGUCAGUUCAAUUUGGUUCUUAUUUGA